GGUCACAACGGAGGUGGAGGACUCGGAGGCGGCGGGGGACUCGGAGGCGGAUCCGGAGGAGGACUCGGAGGCGGUGGGGGAUUUGGAGGCGGCUUUGGUCGUUAAACCCCGGAGCCAGACGACCCUUCGGCGCAACUUCUGCAACAUUCGGCAAAUGUAAUUGGUAAUAAACAAAAAAA